rnacentral:rRNA from 1 species
UACAGAGACCUCAAGCGUUAUCCGGAAUCAUUGGGCGUAAAGCGUACCGAUAGGUGGUUUUACAAGUCAGAAGUGAAAUCUCAAGGCUCAACUUUGAGACUGUCUUUUGAAACUGUAAAACUAGAGGAGCAAAGAGGAAGCUGGAACGAACGGUGUAGUAGUGAAAUGCGUUGAUAUCGUUCGGAACACCAAUAGCGUAGGCAGGCUUCUGGGUGCUACCUGACACUGCUAGGACGAAAGCGUGGGGAGCGAAUGGG